CAGCAGUAGCCGCGGUAAAACAGAGGGUGCGAGCGUUAAUCGGAUUUACUGGGCGUAAAGCGUGCGUAGGCGGCUUUUUAAGUCGGAUGUGAAAUCCCUGAGCUUAACUUAGGAAUUGCAUUCGAUACUGGGAAGCUAGAGUAUGGGAGAGGAUGGUAGAAUUCCAGGUGUAGCGGUGAAAUGCGUAGAGAUCUGGAGGAAUACCGAUGGCGAAGGCAGCCAUCUGGCCUAAUACUGACGCUGAGGUACGAAAGCAUGGGGAGCAAACAGGAUUAGAGACCCCCGUAGUCCCUGUCUCUUAUAC
rnacentral:rRNA from 1 species